GUCGGGAUAGCUCAGCUGUAGAGCACAAGACUAAAAAUCCUCGUGUCACAGUUUCAAAU
rnacentral:tRNA from 1 species